rnacentral:rRNA from 1 species
GCAGUCGAGCGGAUGAGUGGAGCUUGCUCCAUGAUUCAGCGGCGGACGGGUGAGUAAUGCCUAGGAAUCUGCCUGGUAGUGGGGGACAACGUUUCGAAAGGAACGCUAAUACCGCAUACGUCCUACGGGAGAAAGCAGGGGACCUUCGGGCCUUGCGCUAUCAGAUGAGCCUAGGUCGGAUUAGCUAGUUGGUGGGGUAAAGGCCUACCAAGGCGACGAUCCGUAACUGGUCUGAGAGGAUGAUCAGUCACACUGGAACUGAGACACGGUCCAGACUCCUACGGGAGGCAGCAGUGGGGAAUAUUGGACAAUGGGCGAAAGCCUGAUCCAGCCAUGCCGCGUGUGUGAAGAAGGUCUUCGGAUUGUAAAGCACUUUAAGUUGGGAGGAAGGGCAGUAAGUUAAUACCUUGCUGUUUUGACGUUACCAACAGAAUAAGCACCGGCUAACUUCGUGCCAGCCGCCGCGGGUAAU